rnacentral:misc_RNA from 1 species
CGCCACUGCAGCAGCGACGCAAUACACUAAUCAACUCACCGAUGCGAACAAGCAGCUUGAUCAGCUAAGGCAAGAUUUGGCAGAUUCUGCUCGAGAGAACGACACUCUUCGCACUCAGCUCUACGAGACCACGAAAAAUCUCGACGCCGAGCUUGCUGCCAUGGCGGAAUCAAAGCAGACUGCUGAUGAGCUACGUCGCCAACUGGACAGCGCCGCUGCCGCCGCCGCUCAGUUGCAGGCUGAAAACCGCGCGAACAAUGCCGCGGUGAAGGCCGCCACCAACGAGAACGCGAUGCUCUCCGCUCGCCUAACGCAGCUGCUGGACGAACAAAAACUCCUCCGCGAAUCACUCCAGAGGCAGCAGGAGGCGGCGGCUGACCUUACCCGCUUCGACGAGCGCUGGUCCUUUCCGGACCUCAACGAUGCAACCACGACCUCCACACAUACGAAGGAGUUCCCGCAUCCGGAGUGGAACAUCGUACUGCAAAACAAACCUCGAGAGCUCAACCGAGUCUUUCGGGACGAAGCCGCCCUUGCGUGCCACGUUCGCCCGAGUCACAUUACCGAUCUUCAUUUUAAGCACGGCAGCCUUCACGCCACGUUCACCAUUCAACAUUCGGCCACCAUCACUGCGAAAGACAUCGAGAAACGCCUGCAGCAGUUCCCCUUUCGCGCGAUGCAAGAGCUCUAUGACCAGCGCCACCGACCGCCCGAAGGACUCGAUGCCCUCGGCUUGGAAAACACGACGCUGCGAAACGCUCGCGACAAAGACCAGCGUGACAUUAUCGUAACGAACGCGGAGAAGGAGCGUCUGCAGAGCGAGCUGGAGGAGAAGGGCUCGGAGGCGGAGGCCGCCAAGGAGGACAGCGAGGCGCUGCGCGGCCAGCUGGAGGAGACGACCCAGCAGCUGGAGGAGGCGAACGCGGAGAGGGAGCGCCUGCAGAGCGAGCUGGAGGAGAAGGGCUCGGAGGCGGAGGCCGCCAAGGAGGACAACGAGGCGCUGCGCAGCCAGCUGGAGGAGGCGAACGCGGAGAAGGAGCGUCUGCAGAGCGAGCUGGAGGAGAAGGGCUCGGAGGCGGAGGCCGCCAAGGAGGACAACGAGACGCUGCGCGGCCAGCUGGAGGAGACGACCCAGCAGCUGGAGGAGGCGAACGCGGAGAGGGAGCGCCUGCAGAGCGAGCUGGAGGAGAAGGGCUCGGAGGCCGAGGCCGCCAAGGAGGACAACGAGACGCUGCGCGGCCAGCUGGAGGAGACGACCCAGCAGCUGGAGGAGGCGAACGCGGAGAGGGAGCGCCUGCAGAGCGAGCUGGAGGAGAAGGGCUCGGAGGCCGAGGCCGCCAAGGAGGACAGCGAGGCGCUGCGCGGCCAGCUGGAGGAGACGACCCAGCAGCUGGAGGAGGCGAACGCGGAGAGGGAGCGCCUGCAGAGCGAGCUGGAGGAGAAGGGCUCGGAGGCCGAGGCCGCCAAGGAGGACCGCGAGGCGCUGCGCGGCCAGCUGGAGGAGGCGAACGCGGAGAGGGAGCGCCUGCAGAGCGAGCUGGAGGAGAAGGGCUCGGAGGCGGAGGCCGCCAAGGAGGACAGCGAGACGCUGCGCGGCCAGCUGGAGGAGGCGAACGCGGAGAAGGAGCGCCUGCAGAGCGAGCUGGAGGAGAAGGGCUCGGAGGCGGAGGCCGCCAAGGAGGACAACGAGACGCUGCGCGGCCAGCUGGAGGAGGCGAACGCGGAGAAGGAGCGCCUGCAGAGCGAGCUGGAGGAGAAGGGCUCGGAGGCCGAGGCCGCCAAGGAGGACAACGAGGCGCUGCGCGGCCAGCUGGAGGAGACGACCCAGCAGCUGGAGGAGGCGAACGCGGAGAGGGAGCGCCUGCAGAGCGAGCUGGAGGAGAAGGGCUCGGAGGCGGACGCCGCCAAGGAGGACAACGAGACGCUGCGCGGCCAGCUGGAGGAGGCGAACGCGGAGAGGGAGCGCCUGCAGAGCGAGCUGGAGGAGAAGGGCUCGGAGGCCGAGGCCGCCAAGGAGGACAACGAGGCGCUGCGCGGCCAGCUGGAGGAGACGACCCAGCAGCUGGAGGAGGCGAACGCGGAGAGGGAGCGCCUGCAGAGCGAGCUGGAGGAGAAGGGCUCGGAGGCCGAGGCCGCCAAGGAGGACCGCGAGGCGCUGCGCGGCCAGCUGGAGGAGGCGAACGCGGAGAGGGAGCGCCUGCAGAGCGAGCUGGAGGAGAAGGGCUCGGAGGCGGAGGCCGCCAAGGAGGACAGCGAGACGCUGCGCGGCCAGCUGGAGGAGGCGAACGCGGAGAAGGAGCGCCUGCAGAGCGAGCUGGAGGAGAAGGGCUCGGAGGCGGAGGCCGCCAAGGAGGACAACGAGACGCUGCGCGGCCAGCUGGAGGAGGCGAACGCGGAGAGGGAGCGCCUGCAGAGCGAGCUGGAGGAGAAGGGCUCGGAGGCCGAGGCCGCCAAGGAGGACAACGAGGCGCUGCGCGGCCAGCUGGAGGAGGCGAACGCGGAGAGGGAGCGCCUGCAGAGCGAGCUGGAGGAGAAGGGCUCGGAGGCCGAGGCCGCCAAGGAGGACAACGAGGCGCUGCGCGGCCAGCUGGAGGAGACGACCCAGCAGCUGGAGGAGGCGAACGCGGAGAGGGAGCGCCUGCAGAGCGAGCUGGAGGAGAAGGGCUCGGAGGCGGAGGCCGCCAAGGAGGACAACGAGACGCUGCGCGGCCAGCUGGAGGAGGCGAACGCGGAGAGGGAGCGCCUGCAGAGCGAGCUGGAGGAGAAGGGCUCGGAGGCGGAGCCGCCAAGGAGGACAACGAGACGCUGCGCGGCCAGCUGGAGGAGGCGAACGCGGAGAGGGAGCGCCUGCAGAGCGAGCUGGAGGAGAAGGGCUCGGAGGCGGACGCCGCCAAGGAGGACAACGAGACGCUGCACGGCCAGCUGGAGGAGGCGAACGCGGAGAAGGAGCGCCUGCAGAGCGAGCUGGAGGAGAAGGGCUCGGAGGCCGAGGCCGCCAAGGAGGACAACGAGACGCUGCGCGGCCAGCUAGAGGAGACGACCCAGCAGCUGGAGGAGGCGAACGCGGAGAGGGAGCGCCUGCAGAGCGAGCUGGAGGAGAAGGGCUCGGAGGCGGAGGCCGCCAAGGAGGACAACGAGACGCUGCGCGGCCAGCUGGAGGAGGCGACCCAGCAGCUGGAGGAGGCGAACGCGGAGAGGGAGCGCCUGCAGAGCGAGCUGGAGGAGAAGGGCUCGGAGGCGGAGGCCGCCAAGGAGGACAACGAGACGCUGCGCGGCCAGCUGGAGGAGGCGACCCAGCAGCUGGAGGAGGCGAACGCGGAGAGGGAGCGCCUGCAGAGCGAGCUGGAGGAGAAGGGCUCGGAGGCGGAGGCCGCCAAGGAGGACAACGAGACGCUGCGCGGCCAGCUGGAGGAGGCGAACGCGGAGAGGGAGCGCCUGCAGAGCGAGCUGGAGGAGAAGGCUCGGAGGCGGAGGCCGCCAAGGAGGACAACGAGACGCUGCGCGGCCAGCUGGAGGAGGCGAACGCGGAGAGGGAGCGCCUGCAGAGCGAGCUGGAGGAGAAGGGCUCGGAGGCGGAGGCCGCCAAGGAGGACAGCGAGGCGCUGCACGGCCAGCUGGAGGAGGCGACCCAGCAGCUGGAGGAGGCGAACGCGGAGAGGGAGCGCCUGCAGAGCGAGCUGGAGGAGAAGGGCUCGGAGGCCGAGGCCGCCAAGGAGGACAACGAGACGCUGCGCGGCCAGCUGGAGGAGACGACCCAGCAGCUGGAGGAGGCGAACGCGGAGAGGGGGCGCCUGCAGAGCGAGCUGGAGGAGAAGGGCUCGGAGGCCGAGGCCGCCAAGGAGGACAACGAGACGCUGCGCGGCCAGCUGGAGGAGACGACCCAGCAGCUGGAGGAGGCGAACGCGGAGAAGGAGCGCCUGCAGAGCGAGCUGGAGGAGAAGGGCUCGGAGGCGGACGCCGCCAAGGAGGACAACGAGACGCUGCGCGGCCAGCUGGAGGAAGCGAACGCGGAGAGGGAGCGCCUGCAGAGCGAGCUGGAGGAGAAGGGCUCGGAGGCCGAGGCCGCCAAGGAGGACAACGAGACGCUGCGCGGCCAGCUGGAGGAGACGACCCAGCAGCUGGAGGAGGCGAACGCGGAGAAGGAGCGCCUGCAGAGCGAGCUGGAGGAGAAGGGCUCGGAGGCGGACGCCGCCAAGGAGGACAACGAGACGCUGCGCGGCCAGCUGGAGGAGGCGAACGCGGAGAGGGAGCGCCUGCAGAGCGAGCUGGAGGAGAAGGGCUCGGAGGCCGAGGCCGCCAAGGAGGACAGCGAGGCGCUGCGCGGCCAGCUGGAGGAGACGACCCAGCAGCUGGAGGAGGCGAACGCGGAGAGGGAGCGCCUGCAGAGCGAGCUGGAGGAGAAGGGCUCGGAGGCGGAGGCCGCCAAGGAGGACAACGAGACGCUGCGCGGCCAGCUGGAGGAGGCGAACGCGGAGAGGGAGCGCCUGCAGAGCGAGCUGGAGGAGAAGGGCUCGGAGGCCGAGGCCGCCAAGGAGGACAGCGAGGCGCUGCGCGGCCAGCUGGAGGAGACGACCCAGCAGCUGGAGGAGGCGAACGCGGAGAGGGAGCGCCUGCAGAGCGAGCUGGAGGAGAAGGGCUCGGAGGCGGAGGCCGCCAAGGAGGACAACGAGACGCUGCGCGGCCAGCUGGAGGAGGCGAACGCGGAGAGGGAGCGCCUGCAGAGCGAGCUGGAGGAGAAGGGCUCGGAGGCCGAGGCCGCCAAGGAGGACAGCGAGGCGCUGCGCGGCCAGCUGGAGGAGACGACCCAGCAGCUGGAGGAGGCGAACGCGGAGAGGGAGCGCCUGCAGAGCGAGCUGGAGGAGAAGGCUCGGAGGCGGAGGCCGCCAAGGAGGACAGCGAGACGCUGCGCGGCCAGCUGGAGGAGACGACCCAGCAGCUGGAGGAGGCGAACGCGGAGAGGGAGCGCCUGCAGAGCGAGCUGGAGGAGAAGGGCUCGGAGGCCGAGGCCGCCAAGGAGGACAGCGAGGCGCUGCGCGGCCAGCUGGAGGAGACGACCCAGCAGCUGGAGGAGGCGAACGCGGAGAGGGAGCGCCUGCAGAGCGAGCUGGAGGAGAAGGGCUCGGAGGCGGAGGCCGCCAAGGAGGACAGCGAGGCGCUGCGCGGCCAGCUGGAGGAGACGACCCAGCAGCUGGAGGAGGCGAACGCGGAGAGGGAGCGCCUGCAGAGCGAGCUGGAGGAGAAGGCUCGGAGGCGGAGGCCGCCAAGGAGGACAGCGAGACGCUGCGCGGCCAGCUGGAGGAGGCGACCCAGCAGCUGGAGGAGGCGAACGCGGAGAGGGAGCGCCUGCAGAGCGAGCUGGAGGAGAAGGGCUCGGAGGCGGAGGCCGCCAAGGAGGACAGCGAGACGCUGCGCGGCCAGCUGGAGGAGACGACCCAGCAGCUGGAGGAGGCGAACGCGGAGAGGGAGCGCCUGCAGAGCGAGCUGGAGGAGAAGGGCUCGGAGGCGGAGGCCGCCAAGGAGGACAGCGAGACGCUGCGCGGCCAGCUGGAGGAGACGACCCAGCAGCUGGAGGAGGCGAACGCGGAGAGGAGCGCCUGCAGAGCGAGCUGGAGGAGAAGGGCUCGGAGGCGGAGGCCGCCAAGGAGGACAGCGAGACGCUGCGCGGCCAGCUGGAGGAGACGACCCAGCAGCUGGAGGAGGCGAACGCGGAGAGGGAGCGCCUGCAGAGCGAGCUGGAGGAGAAGGGCUCGGAGGCCGAGGCCGCCAAGGAGGACAACGAGGCGCUGCGCGGCCAGCUGGAGGAGACGACCCAGCAGCUGGAGGAGGCGAACGCGGAGAGGAGCGCCUGCAGAGCGAGCUGGAGGAGAAGGCUCGGAGGCGAGGCCGCCAAGGAGGACAACGAGACGCUGCGCGGCCAGCUGGAGGAGACGACCCAGCAGCUGGAGGAGGCGAACGCGGAGAAGGAGCGCCUGCAGAGCGAGCUGGAGGAGAAGGGCUCGGAGGCCGAGGCCGCCAAGGAGGACAGCGAGGCGCUGCGCGGCCAGCUGGAGGAGACGACCCAGCAGCUGGAGGAGGCGAACGCGGAGAGGGAGCGCCUGCAGAGCGAGCUGGAGGAGAAGGGCUCGGAGGCGGAGGCCGCCAAGGAGGACAACGAGACGCUGCGCGGCCAGCUGGAGGAGGCGAACGCGGAGAGGAGCGCCUGCAGAGCGAGCUGGAGGAGAAGGGCUCGGAGGCCGAGGCCGCCAAGGAGGACAACGAGACGCUGCGCGGCCAGCUGGAGGAGACGACCCAGCAGCUGGAGGAGGCGAACGCGGAGAAGGAGCGCCUCCAGAGCGAGCUGGAGGAGAAGGGCUCGGAGGCGGAGGCCGCCAAGGAGGACAACGAGACGCUGCGCGGCCAGCUGGAGGAGGCGACCCAGCAGCUGGAGGAGGCGAACGCGGAGAAGGAGCGCCUGCAGAGCGAGCUGGAGGGGAAGGGCUCGGAGGCGGAGGCCGCCAAGGAGGACAACGAGACGCUGCGCGGCCAGCUGGAGGAGGCGACCCAGCAGCUGGAGGAGGCGAACGCGGAGAAGGAGCGCCUGCAGAGCGAGCUGGAGGAGAAGGGCUCGGAGGCGGAGGCCGCCAAGGAGGACAACGAGGCGCUGCGCGGCCAGCUGGAGGAGGCGAACGCGGAGAGGGAGCGCCUGCAGAGCGAGCUGGAGGAGAAGGGCUCGGAGGCCGAGGCCGCCAAGGAGGACAGCGAGGCGCUGCGCGGCCAGCUGGAGGAGACGACCCAGCAGCUGGAGGAGGCGAACGCGGAGAGGGAGCGCCUGCAGAGCGAGCUGGAGGAGAAGGGCUCGGAGGCGGAGGCCGCCAAGGAGGACAGCGAGGCGCUGCGCAGCCAGCUGGAGGAGACGACCCAGCAGCUGGAGGAGGCGAACGCGGAGAGGGAGCGCCUGCAGAGCGAGCUGGAGGAGAAGGGCUCGGAGGCGGAGGCCGCCAAGGAGGACAGCGAGGCGCUGCGCGGCCAGCUGGAGGAGACGACCCAGCAGCUGGAGGAGGCGAACGCGGAGAGGGAGCGCCUGCAGAGCGAGCUGGAGGAGAAGGGCUCGGAGGCGGAGGCCGCCAAGGAGGACAGCGAGACGCUGCGCGGCCAGCUGGAGGAGACGACCCAGCAGCUGGAGGAGGCGAACGCGGAGAAGGAGCGCCUGCAGAGCGAGCUGGAGGAGAAGGGCUCGGAGGCCGAGGCCGCCAAGGAGGACAGCGAGGCGCUGCGCGGCCAGCUGGAGGAGACGACCCAGCAGCUGGAGGAGGCGAACGCGGAGAGGGAGCGCCUGCAGAGCGAGCUGGAGGAGAAGGGCUCGGAGGCGGAGGCCGCCAAGGAGGACAACGAGACGCUGCGCGGCCAGCUGGAGGAGGCGAACGCGGAGAGGGAGCGCCUGCAGAGCGAGCUGGAGGAGAAGGGCUCGGAGGCCGAGGCCGCCAAGGAGGACAGCGAGGCGCUGCGCGGCCAGCUGGAGGAGACGACCCAGCAGCUGGAGGAGGCGAACGCGGAGAGGGAGCGCCUGCAGAGCGAGCUGGAGGAGAAGGGCUCGGAGGCGGAGGCCGCCAAGGAGGACAGCGAGGCGCUGCGCAGCCAGCUGGAGGAGACGACCCAGCAGCUGGAGGAGGCGAACGCGGAGAGGGAGCGCCUGCAGAGCGAGCUGGAGGAGAAGGGCUCGGAGGCGGAGGCCGCCAAGGAGGACAACGAGGCGCUGCGCAGCCAGCUGGAGGAGACGACCCAGCAGCUGGAGGAGGCGAACGCGGAGAGGGAGCGCCUGCAGAGCGAGCUGGAGGAGAAGGGCUCGGAGGCGGAGGCCGCCAAGGAGGACAGCGAGGCGCUGCGCAGCCAGCUGGAGGAGACGACCCAGCAGCUGGAGGAGGCGAACGCGGAGAGGGAGCGCCUGCAGAGCGAGCUGGAGGAGAAGGGCUCGGAGGCCGAGGCCGCCAAGGAGGACAACGAGGCGCUGCGCGGCCAGCUGGAGGACACGACCCAGCAGCUGGAGGAGGCGAACGCGGAGAGGGAGCGUCUGCAGAGCGAGCUGGAGGAGAAGGGCUCGGAGGCGGAGGCCGCCAAGGAGGACAGCGAGACGCUGCGCGGCCAGCUGGAGGAGACGACCCAGCAGCUGGAGGAGGCGAACGCGGAGAGGGAGCGCCUGCAGAGCGAGCUGGAGGAGAAGGGCUCGGAGGCGGAGGCCGCCAAGGAGGACAGCGAGACGCUGCGCGGCCAGCUGGAGGAGACGACCCAGCAGCUGGAGGAGGCGAACGCGGAGAGGGAGCGCCUGCAGAGCGAGCUGGAGGAGAAGGGCUCGGAGGCGGAGGCCGCCAAGGAGGACAGCGAGACGCUGCGCGGCCAGCUGGAGGAGACGACCCAGCAGCUGGAGGAGGCGAACGCGGAGAAGGAGCGCCUGCAGAGCGAGCUGGAGGAGAAGGGCUCGGAGGCGGAGGCCGCCAAGGAGGACAGCGAGACGCUGCGCGGCCAGCUGGAGGAGACGACCCAGCAGCUGGAGGAGGCGAACGCGGAGAGGGAGCGCCUGCAGAGCGAGCUGGAGGAGAAGGGCUCGGAGGCGGAGGCCGCCAAGGAGGACAACGAGACGCUGCGCGGCCAGCUGGAGGAGACGACCCAGCAGCUGGAGGAGGCGAACGCGGAGAAGGAGCGCCUGCAGAGCGAGCUGGAGGAGAAGGGCUCGGAGGCGGAGGCCGCCAAGGAGGACAACGAGACGCUGCGCGGCCAGCUGGAGGAGGCGAACGCGGAGAGGGAGCGUCUGCAGAGCGAGCUGGAGGAGAAGGGCUCGGAGGCCGAGGCCGCCAAGGAGGACAGCGAGGCGCUGCGCGGCCAGCUGGAGGAGACGACCCAGCAGCUGGAGGAGGCGAACGCGGAGAGGGAGCGUCUGCAGAGCGAGCUGGAGGAGAAGGGCUCGGAGGCCGAGGCCGCCAAGGAGGACAACGAGACGCUGCGCGGCCAGCUGGAGGAGGCGAACGCGGAGAGGGAGCGUCUGCAGAGCGAGCUGGAGGAGAAGGGCUCGGAGGCCGAGGCCGCCAAGGAGGACAGCGAGGCGCUGCGCGGCCAGCUGGAGGAGACGACCCAGCAGCUGGAGGAGGCGAACGCGGAGAAGGAGCGCCUGCAGAGCGAGCUGGAGGAGAAGGGCUCGGAGGCGGAGGCCGCCAAGGAGGACAACGAGACGCUGCGCGGCCAGCUGGAGGAGACGACCCAGCAGCUGGAGGAGGCGAACGCGGAGAAGGAGCGUCUGCAGAGCGAGCUGGAGGAGAAGGGCUCGGAGGCCGAGGCCGCCAAGGAGGACAGCGAGGCGCUGCGCGGCCAGCUGGAGGAGACGACCCAGCAGCUGGAGGAGGCGAACGCGGAGAGGGAGCGUCUGCAGAGCGAGCUGGAGGAGAAGGGCUCGGAGACCGAGGCCGCCAAGGAGGACAACGAGACGCUGCGCGGCCAGCUGGAGGAGGCGAACGCGGAGAGGGAGCGUCUGCAGAGCGAGCUGGAGGAGAAGGGCUCGGAGGCCGAGGCCGCCAAGGAGGACAGCGAGGCGCUGCGCGGCCAGCUGGAGGAGACGACCCAGCAGCUGGAGGAGGCGAACGCGGAGAAGGAGCGCCUGCAGAGCGAGCUGGAGGAGAAGGGCUCGGAGGCGGAGGCCGCCAAGGAGGACAACGAGACGCUGCGCGGCCAGCUGGAGGAGACGACCCAGCAGCUGGAGGAGGCGAACGCGGAGAAGGAGCGUCUGCAGAGCGAGCUGGAGGAGAAGGGCUCGGAGGCCGAGGCCGCCAAGGAGGACAGCGAGACGCUGCGCGGCCAGCUGGAGGAGGCGAACGCGGAGAGGGAGCGUCUGCAGAGCGAGCUGGAGGAGAAGGGCUCGGAGGCCGAGGCCGCCAAGGAGGACAGCGAGGCGCUGCGCGGCCAGCUGGAGGAGACGACCCAGCAGCUGGAGGAGGCGAACGCGGAGAAGGAGCGCCUGCAGAGCGAGCUGGAGGAGAAGGGCUCGGAGGCCGAGGCCGCCAAGGAGGACAACGAGACGCUGCGCGGCCAGCUGGAGGAGAAGGGCUCGGAGGCCAAGGCCGCCAAGGAGGACAGCGAGGCGCUGCGCGGCCAGCUGGAGGAGACGACCCAGCAGCUGGAGGAGGCGAACGCGGAGAAGGAGCGCCUGCAGAGCGAGCUGGAGGAGAAGGGCUCGGAGGCGGAGGCCGCCAAGGAGGACAGCGAGACGCUGCGCGGCCAGCUGGAGGAGACGACCCAGCAGCUGGAGGAGGCGAACGCGGAGAAGGAGCGACUGCGGCGAGCUCUGUCAUGUGAGAAUGCGGAGCGUAGUGCUGCUGCUGAGUGCUGUAGCGCACUGGAGAGGAAGGUGCAGUUUGUCGUCUCCGACAGGGACUCGUUAUCGUUGAUUGUUGCGGAGAAUGUCAAGGAGAAGUCGUCGCUGGCGAAGAGGUUGGCAGACGCUGAAGGGAAGUGCGCCCUGCUGAGCGGGGAAGCGGAAGAGCUGCGCGGAAGUUUGCGGGCGUGCGAGGAUAAGGUGCGCGCGGCCGAGGCUGAGCGGAGGCGGCUGUCGGAGGAAUUGACGUCCGCGCUGUGGGCGAAGCGGAAGCUCGAAAAGGACAAGGAAAGGCUGAAGGAGGGCUAUGUACAGUCGGAAAAGGAGCGGCGUAAACUGGAUGCGCGGUUCGAGGCGAGGAAUGAGAAUCAUGGGAGCGAGGUGGCAGCGGUGCCGUAUGCGGCGUCAAAGCAGCCGGCGGAGGGGUGCUUCAGGGCGACUCGCACGGCUCUCAAGGUACUGCGGAAUAACGGUGUUGAAGUGGAGGUGCGGGGGGAUGAGUUGGCUGGCGCGUGAGGCAUGUAAUGCACGAUCUUGCGCUGUCCAGUGUUUGUAGUUCGCAUGCUUAAAAGACCGGGGAGGUGAACCUGUCGAACCUCCUGUCUCCCUUUCAAACUCUCUCUUACUGUGGAGGCGGAUACGUAAAGGACAGUGCAAGUGGAGGAGGCCAACGGCGGGGUCGAGGGCGCGGCUGCACCUGAGAGUAAAGAUGCUGUUGUUGUUGUUGCGUGUGCUCGGCCGAGGCACUGCCUGUGCUCAGCUGCACAGGAAACCAUAGAAUAUAUAUAUAUAUAUAUGUACACAUAUGUUUGUUCUUCGGCUUCCGCACAUCGACGGACUUCGAAGGAAAGCGCAGCAGAUAGGUGGAGCUACGCCGACAUACACGCUCACCCACAUCCGUGCCUGUGCGGUUGCGUAGGUGCGUGAAUAAUGUCCCACUUUUCUGUUGUUUGCUUCCUCGUGUGUUUUCCUUCUCUCUUUGUUUGAUCAUCGCUAGCAUGUUUGUUUUCGUGUCCCCCCACCCCCGACGGCGGACCGUGGCCUUGAGCGCCGCGACCCUUUUUUCCGUGACGUAUUCGGUGCACGCUGCCCUCGUACACAUUUUAGUGUGCUCCGCGAUGUUGCACUCUGGAAUCUGUUUAUCGCCCCGACCCUUUUCGUGCUCUUGCUCUCUCUCUUUCGAUAUCGGCACUGUAUACCGCAUAAGACAGCGAUGAGGUUGAGUCCAGCAGCAGUGCGAAGAAGAACCCCCUCCCCCCCUCAUCCCGGCCUGGCUUGGCUUACGUGGGAUGGGUGGUGGCGGAUCGGCUUUCAUAAUCACUUCUGGCGUCAUUGGCGGGUGAGCGAGAGAGAUCACCUUGCUCGUAGACGCUCCACCCAUCUUCUCUGCGAGGCCGCAGUCUUCGUGGAGGACGACGCUGCGAGGGUUGAGUGCGCCCUGCAGUUCUCGCUCGGGCUCACACAAACGCCAUUUCCGUGUACUACGCAUCCACGGACAAAGACGAAGAGGGGGAGGGAAACUUGGGCGUACGUGGUGCCUGCGAAUGGCUCUCGUUGUCUGUCCCUCUCUCAUCGCUCAUGUUUAGGUGUCUCGUGCGUGCGCGCCAUGGCCGCUUCUCUUUCAUUCAUGCACGCCCUCGUUCUCCCCUUCCUUCUUCGCAUGUACCUCGCCCUGCUGUCCUCCUCCGCCUCUGUGUUUCUGUGCUUCUGCCUCUCCUUUCCCAUGGCCCUUACCACUGCACAUGCGCACUUGCGCACGUCGUACACCCCACUCACCUCAG